rnacentral:rRNA from 1 species
CGACGUGGAUAACCUGCCUCAUACAGGGGGAUAACAGUUAGAAAUGACUGCUAAUACCGCAUAAGCGCACAGAGAUGCAUGUCUCGGUGUGAAAAGCUGAGGCGGUAUGAGAUGGAUCCGCGUCUGAUUAGCUGGUUGGCGGGGUAGAGGCCCACCAAGGCGACGAUCAGUAGCCGACCUGAGAGGGUGGCCGGCCACAUUGGGACUGAGACACGGCCCAAACCCCUACGGAAGGCAGCAG